rnacentral:lncRNA from 9 species
GCACAAAAUAAACAUUCCUGUGCCCCAGAUUAUUAUAUUCCUUCAGGAGCACACAUAUGUGAGCCAUAGUAUUAAUAAGUUACAGAUCAUCUGAUCCAGACACAUGCCUGAUCUCUGUAAGUAGCAUAUGAGACUUGAAUACACCACAACUCCUUGUCACAUACUAUAGUGGGUAUUUGUACCCCACCCCCCACUUGGACAUAGGCAAAAAGAGAUAUUCAGAUUGAAGAUGUAUAAUCUGAUGUGGUCCUGAUGAAUUACUCCCACAAAUGGCACCCUUGGUGUGCCAUGGCAACAAAAUCUUGUUAUUGUGAGGUAGAUCCAUGAUGUCACUGAGUUCAGGAGGCUUUAAAACUGUGAAGUGCUACAGUUGACUGUCACCAUUAAUCUCAAGCACAGCCAACAACCAAAUUAUCUUGGGAAGCUAUUAAUUCAUUUAAAUACUCUUUCAGCAAGUUUUGCAACAUUUGGCUUCAGUUGCUAUAGUUCUUUUUGCACAAAUUUCAAGACUUUUGAGACCCUCAAAUUUCAAAAUUCCUAUCCAGCCCUGAGAUUCAAGAGUAGAUUCAAGCUAUGGAUCCAUCACGGCGAAUUACCGCUACUUUGAAAUCUGAGUCCUCACUGGUUCCACCUAAAGAAACAUCCCAAGAAGUUACAUCCACCUCCCAGCCAUCCUUCUCUCAAGUGCAAAGCUGCAAUCUCACUAACUUCAACCGCAGUCCUAAUAGCAAGUACCUCAGCUCUCUACCACAAGAACUCCGCCAGGAGCAGUACAGAGAUGAGAUGGCUGAACAAGAGAAGCAAUGGGAAAAGCCAGAAUCCCCUCAGAGGAAAAAGACACUCGUGGAGAACAAGAGACAGAAAACCCUCAAUUAUAAGUCACCUUUUCGAGCUGGAAGGGAAGGAAAAAUCUCUUCCUUAUAUAAUAAAGAUUGGAAUAAAUGUAAAUGUCAUUACUGCCAGAUCCAAAAAGAGACUGUUUCUGGGAAUCCUGAAGGGCAGAAUUCAUCCUCUUGGAAAACGCUAGUACAGGACCUCAGUCAAUUGAACCUCAGCCCUGAUAC